AUAUCACUAAGCGGAGGAAAAGAAAUUAACUAAGAUUGCCUCAGUAACGGCGAGUGAAGCGGCAAGGGCCCAAAUUGUAAAUCUUCACACUGCGUGUGACGAAUUGUAAUCUAAAGAUGGUUCGCUCACCGGGCGGUGGCGCAGAAGUGACCUAGAAUGGUCUACCAGAGAGGGUGACAGUCCCGUAUGUGGUGCCACUGCUCAACGAGUGCUUACCAAAGAGUCGGGUUGUUUUGAAUUGCAGCCCUAAGUGGGGGAUAGACUUCCUCUAAGGCUAAAUACUUAUGGGAGACCGAUAGCGCACAAGUA
rnacentral:rRNA from 1 species